GAAGCUUUGCACUGUAGUAAAAUUCCUCUCACAAACUAUUUUUCAUAUUUGGAGAUAAGCCAUGCUGUUAAUAUUAGGGGACAGAGGCAUUGUUCUUUCUGAGGAUCUCCAAAGAGGGUUAAAGAUAAAAGACAGAGAUGGCAGCAUUUACCUUGGCAAACUUCUUCAACUAAGGGAUUCAUGAACAGGAAUAUGCAUGGAAACCAAGGAGAUAAGCUAUGUGAGCUACCAAUAACACCCCAUGUCACUGGGAGUCCCCACCAGGAGCACUGUUGACAGAAGCUGAAGGACAGUCAGUUCAUUUGUCUGUCAGCCACAUAAGAGGUAUCUUUCAGGCUUCCGUGAUUGUAGCAGUAUCUGUGACACUUUUCAACAACUCUAUGCUCAGACCUGAUCUGUGUGUAACCUAUCCUGGGCUCCUCCAAGAGGGAAGGAUAUGUUCCUCCCAUAUGACAAGCUCCCUGGGGUCCUGCUUGGUUGACCCUCUCUCUUUGGAGUGUAUAGAAACAAGAGAACAAGGUUUCCUGCAAAAGAUCAAGAUUCCUGCCCCAGAUAUAGAGAAAAAUUGAGGGUCCUCAGACCUCUGGUAUGUGAGAGGGGACCUAUGCAUUCCAAGUGAGCACCUGGAAAUCACUGCACCUUCCCUUGCUAAGUAGAGAUCCAUCACUUCCUUCUGCUGCAUCUGCUUCCUUUGCCUAAAAUGUUUCUUUUACUGAUGGCUCAAAUACCUUCAAUCCAGUUGACUUGGACACCUGAAGGGGAUAGUGGCACUGGCUCACCUUAAAACUGAAAGAGACCCACUUGAAACAACAGCAAGAGAACUAUUUGCACCCAAAAUACAAAAGGAAUGGGAUAAAGGAUGAUAAUAACCAAAUGCUGCAACAAGAAAGCAAAAGAUUAAGUGAAACUAACUUAUUGGAUAUGAGUAUAUUGAACACUUAACUGGUAGUAGAGAAAAGGGAGGAGUAAUCCAAUUUACCUCCCACAAAUAAGUCUCCUGUAAGCCUAAGAAUUGCCAAUACCAGC